UCAACCAUCAAGCCUGGCUUGUCGUUGGACCCCCUUUGCAGCUGAAAUAUGCGGCAGGUCCGAAAGAUAGUGACGGUGUCGUGUUUGACCCUAGAUGCAACGAGCUUUUUAUAGCACGCAUUGAAGUGGUCGGCCGGCCCGGUCUUUAACCAUUAUUUUCUAA
rnacentral:misc_RNA from 1 species